UACGGGGGAUGCAAGCGUUAUCCGGAAUUAUUGGGCGUAAAGCGUUUGUAGGCGGGCGAGUGUGUUUAAUGUUAAAUCUUAAAGCUCAACUUUGAAAUUGCGUUAAAAACUGCUUGUCUUGAGUAUGGUAGGGGUAAAGGGAAUUCCCAGUGUAGCGGUGAAAUGCGUAGAUAUUGGGAAGAACACUAAACAGCGAAGGCACUUUACUAGGCUAAUACUGACGCUGAGAAACGAAAGGUAAGGUAGCGAAACGG
rnacentral:rRNA from 1 species